rnacentral:rRNA from 1 species
UACGAAGGGGGCUAGCGUUGCUCGGAAUCACUGGGCGUAAAGGGUGCGUAGGCGGGUCUUUAAGUCAGGGGUGAAAUCCUGGAGCUCAACUCCAGAACUGCCUUUGAUACUGAAGAUCUUGAGUUCGGGAGAGGUGAGUGGAACUGCGAGUGUAGAGGUGAAAUUCGUAGAUAUUCGCAAGAACACCAGUGGCGAAGGCGGUUCUCUGGGCCUGUACUGACGCUGAGGAGCGAAAGCGUGGGGAACAAACAGG